rnacentral:rRNA from 1 species
ACGGAAGGCAGCAGUGGGGAAUAUUGCACAAUGGGCGAAAGCCUGAUGCAGCGACGCCGCGUGAGUGAAGAAGUAUCUCGGUAUGUAAAGCUCUAUCAGCAGGGAAGAAAAUGACGGUACCUGACUAAGAAGCCCCGGCUAACUACGUGCCAGCAGCCGCGGUAAUACGUAGGGGGCAAGCGUUAUCCGGAUUUACUGGGUGUAAAGGGAGCGUAGACGGUUUGGCAAGUCUGAAGUGAAGUGCGGGGGCUCAACUCCUGAACUGCUUUGGAAACUGUCGAACUAGAGUGCAGGAGAGGUAAGUGGAAUUCCUAGUGUAGCGGUGAAAUGCGUAGAUAUUAGGAGGAACACCAGUGGCGAAGGCGGCUUACUGGACUGUAACUGACGUUGAGGCUCGAAAGCGUGGGGAGCAAACAGGAUUAGAUACCCUGGUA